GCCCUGAUGGUCUAGAGGUAUGAUUCUCCCUUCGGGUGACAGCCCGGCUUGCUUUAGUAAGCUUUGUAUGGGAGAGGUCCCCGGUUCGACUCCGGGUUAGGGCC